UACGUAGGGUGCAAGCGUUAAUCGGAAUUACUGGGCGUAAAGCGUGCGCAGGCGGUUAUGUAAGACAGAUGUGAAAUCCCCGGGCUCAACCUGGGAACUGCAUUUGUGACUGCAUAGCUAGAGUACGGUAGAGGGGGAUGGAAUUCCGCGUGUAGCAGUGAAAUGCGUAGAGAUCCGGAGGAACGCCAGAGACGAAGGUGGCUACCUGGCCCUGACCUGACACUGAGGCGCGAAAGCGUGGGGAGCGAACCGG
rnacentral:rRNA from 1 species